rnacentral:rRNA from 1 species
GACGAACGCUGGCGGCGUGCUUAACACAUGCAAGUCGAACGCUGAAGCACCAGCUUGCUGGUGUGGAUGAGUGGCGAACGGGUGAGUAAUACGUGAGUAACCUGCCCUUGACUCUGGGAUAAGCCCGGGAAACUGGGUCUAAUACUGGAUGCUACAUGUCACCGCAUGGUGGUGUGUGGAAAGGGUUUACUGGUCUUGGAGGGGCUCACGGCCUAUCAGCUUGUUGGUGAGGUAAUGGUUCACCAAGGCGACGACGGGUAGCCGGCCUGAGAGGGUGACCGGCCAACCUGGGACUGAGACACGGCCCAGACUCCUACGGGAGGCAGCAGUGGGGAAUAUUGCACAAUGGGCGACAGCCUGAUGCAGCGACGCCGCGUGAGGGAUGACGGCCUUCGGGUUGUAAACCUCUUUCAGCAGGGAAGAAGCCACAAGUGACGGUACCUGCAGAAGAAGCGCCGGCUAACUACGUG